rnacentral:rRNA from 1 species
GACGGAAGUCUGACCGAGCAACGCCGCGUGAGUGAAGAAGGUUUUCGGAUCGUAAAGCUCUGUUGUAAGAGAAGAACGAGUGUGAGAGUGGAAAGUUCACACUGUGACGGUAUCUUACCAGAAAGGGACGGCUAAAUACGUGCCAGCAGCCGCGGUAAUACGUAGGUCCCGAGCGUUGUCCGGAUUUAUUGGGCGUAAAGCGAGCGCAGGCGGUUAGAUAAGUUUGAAGUUAAAGGCUGUGGCUUAACCAUAGUACGCUUUGGAAACUGUUUAACUUGAGUGCAAGAGGGGAGAGUGGAAUUCCAUGUGUAGCGGUGAAAUGCGUAGAUAUAUGGAGGAACACCGGUGGC